UACUCAAUUCCCAGUUUCCUCCCGUCAGUCAGCCGUUGGUUUUCGUUCGAAACCGGUUUCGUUAGUCUUGGACCAUGAAAAUUAAUAGCAAAACUUUUGCCAUUUUCGCAGUUACUUUGCUGGCUUUGAGCCACUUCACCGUGGCAGCCGAUGCGGACAAUAAGGAUGAAAAAGGUAUGAUGGACAAAAUCAAGGAAAUGGCUAAGCGGACAUGGAUGAAAAUGGUUAAUCGUGAGGAAAAUAAGAAAGACUCCAGGAGGGAUGCAAUAAUGCCGUCAAUGUCAUGAGUCACGCAUGCCUUCCCAGGUCUAUAAUCGUUAUACUACUGAUUUGAGUUCAUGGUGAAUUUGUUAAUAAAAUAAGUUAGCUUGAA